AGUGAACGCUGGCGGUAGGCCUAACACAUGCAAGUCGAACGGCAGCACAGUAAGAGCUUGCUCUUACGGGUGGCGAGUGGCGGACGGGUGAGGAGUACAUCGGAAUCUACUUUUUCGUGGGGGAUAACGUAGGGAAACUUACGCUAAUAGCGCAUACGACCUACGGGUGAAAGCAGGGGAUCUUCGGACCUUGCGCGAUUGAAUGAGCCGAUGUCGGAUUAGCUAGUUGGCGGGGUAAAGGCCCACCAAGGCGACGAUCCGUAGCUGGUCUGAGAGGAUGAUCAGCCACACUGGAACUGAGACACGGUCCAGACUCCUACGGGAGGCAGCAGUGGGGAAUAUUGGACAAUGGGCGCAAGCCUGAUCCAGCCAUACCGCGUGGGUGAAGAAGGCCUUCGGGUUGUAAAGCCCUUUUGUUGGGAAAGAAAAGCAGCAGGUUAAUACCCCGCUGUUCUGACGGUACCCAAAGAAUAAGCACCGGCUAACUUCGUG
rnacentral:rRNA from 1 species